rnacentral:tRNA from 1 species
GAGUGUGCAGCUUUGUGGCCUUGGUUUUGCAAAAGCCUUUGAGGAAAGUUUAUUUCCCAUGCUCU